rnacentral:misc_RNA from 1 species
AACACUGUUAACCUGCGGUACCUGCGGAAGGAUCAUUACCGAGUGUGAACCCCCCCGUAAAAAAGAGGGGUUACCUCCCGUCCUUUGCUGGGAACCCCUUUCCAACUUGGAAGGAGGUUGUUUUCAGACCCUUCUGCUUCGGUGGGGUAACCCACCGGAACAACCUCAAAAAUAUUCUCAAUUCAAAACCGUUCAGUCCGAGAACUUUUUUGAAAAGCGAAAAAACUUUUAACAACGGAU